rnacentral:rRNA from 1 species
GACGAACGCUGGCGGCGUGCUUAACACAUGCAAGUCGAACGGAAAGGCCCUGCUUUUGUGGGGUGCUCGAGUGGCGAACGGGUGAGUAACACGUGAGUAACCUGCCCUUGACUUUGGGAUAACUUCAGGAAACUGGGGCUAAUACCGGAUAGGAGCUCCUGCCGCAUGGUGGGGGUUGGAAAGUUUCGGCGGUUGGGGAUGGACUCGCGGCUUAUCAGCUUGUUGGUGGGGUAGUGGCAUACCAAGGCUUUGACGGGUAGCCGGCCUGAGCGGGUGACCGGCCACAUUGGGACUGAGAUACGGCCCAGACUCCUACGGGAGGCAGCAGUGAGGAAGAGUGCAUAAUGGGCGGAAGCAUGAUGCAGCAACGCCGCGUGGGGGAUGUCGGCCUUCGGGUUGUAAACCGCUUUCGCCUGUGACGAAGCGUGAGUGACGGUAAUGGGUAAAGAAGCACCGGCUAACUACGUG